UUUACAGGAAUAUUUUAGACCAAUGAAAUUUCAAUAUGACUGAAAUGGAUAGACAACAAAAGGAAGCAGAAGAGUCCAAAGUGGAAAAUGCUUCAAAUGUGACUAAAAUGGAAGGACAACUAGAGGAAGAAGAAGAUGCUUCACAUGUGACUAGAAUGGAAGAACAACAGGAGGAAUCAUGUAAUUCUUCAAGCAAUAUGUUAGCAUAAGUGCUUUUAGUUCUUCACAUCUAACAUCUUGAUUUAUGUUGAAAUUUAAGCUUUCAAUCCAAUGAGAAUAAAGCCUGGUGGGUCAUUACAAGACCAAAUUGUGUACGAUGUGGGCAAUAUAGUUGAUGACUACCCUCAGUUUGAAAAUAGUACAAAAGGCUUAUUUGGAUUUUCUAAUGGGUGCCUAACAAUGAAGAGAUGGGAUAAUAUUAGUGCAUUGUUUGGCAAGUUAGGGUACAUUUUUCUUAUUUCAGCUUUUGUUUCCAAUCAAAGUAUUGUUUUAGCAGAUAUCAUUUUCUUUAUUAUUAUUAUUUUUAUUUUUUAGUAACUUUCUAUCUUUGCGUUCCUAAUUUAUGUUGCGCAUGAAGUUAUUUGGAAAUGUUGUAUAUAUUAUUAGCAAGCAAUACUUUUCAUUUCCUUUUUCUAAAAUUGAAUUGUUUUAAAUUGUUGAGCAUGUGGUUCCUUCUCUAUGUUUUUACUAUAGAUGCAAAGUUGCUUGUAUAUGAGAUGAAAUCAUUUUUCAACCAAACAGGACCUUGAAAGUUACUACCUACCAUACUACUUUUUUUCAAAAGGAGUCAAUCAGGAUGUGGCCUUCUUGCAUAUUUUGUUUCAUGUAGCAUUGCAAUUUGGUCAGGCAUGCAGGAGCAUUUACAAGUCCAGUCCAUGAGCUAUGGACCUGAGUUAAGGUCCAGCCCACCCUAUCCAUGAGCCAAGGAAUUAGGUUCAGCUAAGAAAUCAAGAUUUGUUUGGAUUCCCAUCUCUCUAAGUUGUUGGAGUAACUUCUUGUAGUCAUACCAGGUCCCAGUUCUUGAGAAUGUUUAAUGGAAGGACCUCAACUUUCUUGUCUUUGUCUGGAUUACAUUCCUUGCACUACAGAUUGCCAAGCAGCCUUGAUCAAGUGAACCCCUCAUCUUUCAUUGUUCCAUACCUUAAAUCUAGUUUGGAUGAUGUUGUCUUAAAGCUUAUCAUCCUGAAUGUGUGGGCAAGGAUUCCACAUUCUUAGAGAUGGACGAUCAAUGGACUUGUAGUUAGCCUCUUCCUACU